ACAACCCUGGCGUUGCAAGCGCCAUGCUCUACCAACUGAGCCACACGGGACCACAGUUACGGGAAGAAGGCCAUAUCCCUAAGGAUGUUAUACUGGAAGAUAUGAGAGAGUACUUACUGGAAGAAGGAGCUCGGAACAUGAAGCAUCUGCAGUCAACCAUUGGUUCCAGGGUCAGGGGACACAAAGAUGGCCUGCAAACUGCAUUGUAUGACCCAGAGAGAGUUUGAGGAGUAUUGGGUUUCUAAGGAGCGAUCCAGGCUGAAACUCAUUCAAAAUAAUGUAAAGCAUGAUGUGAACAAGGCCAGGCACCUGAAGGAGGCCAAAGAAAAGCGCAACAGAAAGAAAAUGCGUCAUGGAACAAAAGCAGGCCAUUCAGAUGAGGAAAAUGGAAGAGGAAUUGAAAAACCUCCAGGAGUUUGAGAGGUUGAGAGAGGCUACUAUUAAACCAAAUGAUCUAUUGGAAGAAAUAUCUGGAAAACCAGCUCCUGUCCAGCUCGCUCGCCUAGCUGCUCACACCAAAACUGUGAAGAAAACAGUUUCUCUGUCAGGCAAGUCAGUUUCAC